GAUGAACGCUGGCGGCGUGCCUAAUACAUGCAAGUCGAGCGAACAGACGAUGAGCUUGCUCCUCUGACGUUAGCGGCGGACGGGUGAGUAACACGUGGAUAACCUACCUAUAAGACUGGGAUAACUUCGGGAAACCGGAGCUAAUACCGGAUAAUAUAUUGAACCGCAUGGUUCAAUAGUGAAAGACGGUUUUGCGGUCACGUAUAGAUGGAUCCGCGCCGCAUUAUCUGGUUGGGCAGGUAACGGCUUACCAAGGCAACGAGGCGUAACCGACCUGAGAGGGUGGUAGGCCACCCUGGAACUGGACCACCGUCCAGACUCCUACGGGAGGCCGCAGUCGGGUAUCUUCCGCAAUGGGCGAGAGCCUGACGGAGCAACGCCGCGCGAGUUGUGACGGUCUUCGGAUCGUAAAACUCUGUUAUUAGUGAAGAACAAAUGUGUAAGUAACUAUGCACGUCUUGACGGUACCUAAUCAGAAAGCCACGGCUAACUACGUG
rnacentral:rRNA from 1 species